rnacentral:lncRNA from 1 species
UAUUUGGUGCCCUUUGAGUGGGCACCAAACCCCCAGCACACUCCGUAUGAUAUGUUGAAGAAUUACAUCCAAACUUGACUGAAAAUGGAGUCCUUAGGCGGCAAUUUUACGUCGAAUGGUUGGCCGACGGCAGCGGUCAUGGGUGGGGGCCACUUAUUUGGCCCCAUUCGAGCGCCCGGAAAAUCCCACCCCUGUGGGUCUCAGGAACACCCUUAGGGAGUGGGUCCUAAAUCAUAGGAAAUCUAAGGAAUCGGUUAAAGCACUCAAAAUUCCCCGCAGACUGCAGGGGAAAAUUGACGCAGCAAUAGAGGAAGCACUGGAAUUACAGGACAAUUUCCAUUAAAUAGAUUAAAAGAGACAAAGGCUCGGGGGUUAAUAAAAAAUGUAAGGAGUUACUCAGCAGAGGAGGGCAGUGUCUGUAGGGUGAGUGACAAACAUCAAUUCAUUUCAUUUUAAUUGUUUAUUCAAUCCAUACUCAAAAUUAAAUUACUUCUGCUUAUUACACAGGUACACUAUAUAACCUCAUAAAUUUAUCCUAUUUUAAAUUCAUCCAUUAAUUUAUGUGAUUAUGAUGAUAAUGAUAAUUUUUUACUAAUUUAAAUUUCUAAAUUCAAUUUAUAAUUUAAUUAUAAUGAUUGACUAUGCUUGAUGGACAGACAGGGAGAUUGCAAACCUCACUUGACGAAAGUUUAAAUAAUAGUUUUUCAUUGUUAUCAAUUCAUGGUAUAAUAAAAUUAUUUUUAUUGGUUCAAUGUAAUAGAAUUUCAGCCCUAUUUAUAGAAAUAAAAGAUAUUACUGAAGUCGUGCAUAACACGACUUGUCUUAGCUCAAUGCAUCAAUGGAUGGUGUAAUAAUAUUAAUAAAUAAGAAAGGAUUACAAGUCCCCAACAUUUUUAUUACUUAAACCCUUUUGUUUUGCAAAAGCAUUUUAAAUUUUAAUAAUAUAAAUAAAGAAAGGAUAAGAAGACCCCAACAUUUACAAUACCUCAUUGGCAUAAACUUUCGUCUGUCCGUUAUCUUCCCAUAUUCUGGAUCUUGGGGGAUUUCGAUUACAUUCGUCUCAGUUACCAGCCUAUCUGGAAAAUGUUAACAAUGUAUUGAGUAGGUGGAUAAUUAAUUAAUUUAGAAUUAUUGAAACUUGGUCCAACAUUGGAGCUUCGGCAUCAUUAGGCCUACAAUGUGAUUGAUUAACUAGAGCAGGAUUUUAUUUGUAGCUAAAUUGCAGUUUCAAGUCUUCAAACUCCAAAACUGUUUCAAGUGGAAAAUGAAAGCUCUGGUACAAUCUUGACCUUCGACCUUGACCACUGACCGACUGGCCACGACUUGACCUCGACUUAACCCUAAUUCUCCCCUCAAUAUUUAUUUUUCCAUCUUAUUAUAAAACUGUUCAUAUACGGUAUUCGACUAUUUGGGGAAAUUUUAUUUUUUUCACAGUAGAUAGUUUUAUCUUUUUAAAGGUCGAGAUUGUUUCAGAGCUCACAAUUUCUAUUUAUUAUAGAGUUUGAACUGACAUUUUUCAUUUUAGAUAAUUUAAUGUCAAUUCGUCCAAAAAAAAAUAAAUGUUGGCUUAAAUAUAGGAUUUAAUUAUCAGGGAUAUUUCAUAGACAGUUUUUAUAUAAUCAACCCAAGGAGGAUGAUUCGGCAACCAAAAUUUAUUUCUUUAAAUCAUGUCUAGUUGAAUUACCAUUGAGCAUUCCUGGGGCAGGUUUACUUAUUUCAGCUAAGUUUAUUUGAGUGACUGAUAAGUCUGUUUUUUUUCAAAACAUCAGUCUUUUGAUGGCCAAGGCAGGGAAUUCUUUUUGAAGAAUGGAGGAGGGUUCAGAUGAAUUUCUGGUACAGUCAUUGUCUAUAAAUCCAUUGCUUUACACAGAUAAAACUGGAUUUUUUAGGGUACAGUAAAAUCUGUAUGUUGGUUGGAACAGACUGGUUCAUUCUUGACUUGUAAGUUAUUCUCUGGGAGGAAUUUCUACAGUUUGGUCGUUGCUGUAUUAUCAUGAUGAUUAUGAAGAUGGAGAAUUGAAUUCUCUGUGGUUUUUGGGUGAUUGGGUUUUUGUCUACGAGUUGUGGUAGAGGUGUAGUGUGACGAGAUAUAGUUGAAUGUGACGUAAGUAUCGGCUCCACACAUGUUGUGAGUCUGAGGCCUGAAGGCGGCCUUGAGGCGCCCGAGGCCGCCUUGAGUCAGAGGCCACAUGUGUGGGCCAGUUAAGGUAUUUGUAUUUGUUUUUGAAGGUAAGUAUUUGAAAAUGAAAAAUGAAUAAAUUUGUCCACCCCCCACACCAUGCCCAAAGACCCUCUAAAUACCUCAAAUUUAGUACAAUACCACCCGCUCUGAAUACCCCACAUUUAUACCCCCCCCCUGAAUACCUCAAAUACAGUAUACCAACCCCCCAACACAAGAUUUUUUUUUAUAAUUGAAAUGACACCGUUUGUUUAUUACUAACCCCCCCCCCCCAACAAGGAUCACCUAUUGUAAGUUGUUGACAAAAAUCUGAAUAUGUUGGUCAGUUGUUGGCUCAAGCUGUGGCGGUUGUUGGGAGGGUUUUGUUGUGGUUUUCUGAGUGGUUCAGAGGUUUUUACUAUGGUCAAGGUCAAUUCUCUUAGCUGUUGACCAAAGUCGACAAUGAACAGUUUGUUCCAACCAACAUACAAUGAAUAAUUUGAGAAUUCACUUACAAAUUCAGAUAACUCUAGGACUGCUAGCUCCCUGCUUCUUCCUUUUCAUAAAAAAAUGACUUGUAUUCCCUUCCAGGUUGCUCAAUGAUCCUAAUUCAACUAGGUACAUUAUUUCUGUAAUUUCCUAAUUAUUCCUCUUCAAUAAAUAGUACAGGUCUGAAAGUAAUUUACAUUAAUUUAUCCACCGCUCUAUACAGGCUCAAUACAUUUAUUGUCUCUUUGCUUCAUUUAAGAAGUUUAGAUACAUAUUUUUCAAAAAUCUUUUGUCUUCUAUACCAGCCAAUGACAUCCCCUAUAACCAAUUCUUUCAAGUCCUUGUGCACAUCGAUUUUUGGACGUACAAAGUUUUGGGUUUGCCAUCCUUAUAAAUUCUAUUAGAUUAGAAGAUGAUGUUUAUCAAGUUCCGUUCAAUCUAAUAGGAUUUAUAAGGACGGCAAAGAAUCGUAUGCAUAAAAUCGAUGUGUGUGUAGCUACUUUAACACAAUCCGAAAAGUACAAAAAUAAAACUGGGUUGAUAGAAUAAAAAAUCCUAAUUUGAUAAAUUUCACAUUAUAAGUCCUGACUAAGCUAUGUAUGAUAAUAGGACUUACACUUAUAUAUAGAUACUAAGAUAUAAAAAAAA